UACGGGGGGGGCAAGCGUUGUUCGGAAUUACUGGGCGUAAAGGGCUCGUAGGUGGCCAACUAAGUCAGACGUGAAAUCCCUCAGCUUAACUGGGGAACUGCGUCUGAUACUGCAUGGCUUGAGUUUGGGAGAGGGAUGCGGAAUUCCAGGUGUAGCGGUGAAAUGCGUAGAUAUCUGGAGGAACACCGGUGGCGAAGGCGGCAUCCUGGACCAACACUGACACUGAUGAGCGAAAGCCAGGGGAGCAAACGGG
rnacentral:rRNA from 1 species